rnacentral:lncRNA from 1 species
CAUCGUCCGAAUUGCUUUGAUCAAGGAAGUGCUUGCUAUGAUAGAGAGGUGGAAGACAGAGAUGACGUUGUCCUUCAAGCAAGAUAGUGCCUCAUUUCAUAUUGUCCGAGGUGCAAUCCCAGAAUUCAAAAGAGAGUUUGACAAACAUAAAGUUGCACAUGUUGAUGAGGAAAUGCUGCGGAAUUUUGAAGACUUCAGAGUCACUUUUGAUCUCUGCUCAGAGAACUUUGGAGGAUCAAGACCCAUUUACUUAGUAUUGGUGCAAACCGCAGUUUCUAUCAUUUCUCUCUUGAUGAUUCUUAUUUGGUUUGUGAUGGAUAUUUUGACAUCUUCUCCAAAUGCUUGUGCUUCUUUUUGAUGGACUUGAUUUUCUUCCCAAUUUGAGACAUAUUCGGCUUCACAUAAUCAACUUAAAUCAUAACUUUGAUGAUAUAAAUUGAAAAGAGCCAAACACAAUUCAUGACUGAACCUAGAAAUUAUCUAAGCUGCCUACGUACCCUUUUGAAAGGGAUCAAGUCAAAACGUAGUUCAUAGGAUCAACAGGUGUUUGAGAUUGGGUGCCGUGCAUAGUUUAUACUCAUGCGGGCCAGGAGUAACAUGCAGUUUAGGCUCGUGCGUCAAGGAGCUGUCAUUCAUACGCUUCAUUUUGUUGUUUUUCUUCAUUUCUGGUUUCUCAUCUGACUCAUCUUUUCGGCUUUUCUGCUUUUCAUUUUUUUUUGCUUUUCUGCUUUUCUAUUUUUUUUUUCUGUUUUUCUAUUUUUUGGCUUUUUUUUUUUUAAAUAACUAUACACAUAUAUACAUGCUUCAACUUCUACCACCCUUCAAGGAUAGUAGUACUUCAAGAACUUUCCGUUGAGAGUGAUAACAAUUGGCCUCCUUGCAGCGAGGGCCAUGUCUCCAAUUUGAAAAGAGGGCGCUCGCACUGCUUUGUUGAAGGAUCUUGAAGGAAGAGCUUGAUAGUAUUCCAAUUUUUGCUGGACUUCUAGUCUCUCUUCAUCCAGAGUUUCCAGUUCUUUGGGGCUCAAGUGCGAAUUCUCUUCUCCAACGACCAUUUUCUCGCAGGAGGUGAUAUGGUUUGCUGUGACAACGUCUUCAUCUUUUCGGCGAGGAUCUUUGCAAUCAAAACACGUCUUUAUGCUUUCAUUUCUCUGGCGUAUGAAGGCUAUAUUCUCUGCAACGCUUGUUGUGAUAACGCCACUUCUAACGAGACUUGCAAUUUCACGGCGCACUUGACUUUGAG